AUUGAACGCUGGCGGCAGGCCUAACACAUGCAAGUCGAAUGGUAACAGGAAACAGCUUGCUGUUUCGCUGACGAGUGGCGGACGGGUGAGUAAUGUCUGGGAAACUGCCUGAUGGAGGGGGAUAACUACUGGAAACGGUAGCUAAUACCGCAUAACGUCGCAAGACCAAAGAGGGGGACCUUCGGGCCUCUUGCCAUCAGAUGCGCCCAGAUGGGAUUAGCUAGUAGGUGGGGUAACGGCUCACCUAGGCGACGAUCCCUAGCUGGUCUGAGAGGAUGACCAGCCACACUGGAACUAAGACACGGUCCAGACUCCUACGGGAGGCAGCAGUGGGGAAUAUUGCACAAUGGGCGCAAGCCUGAUGCAGCCAUGCCGCGUGUAUGAAGAAGGCCUUCGGGUUGUAAAGUACUUUCAGCGGGGAGGAAGGGAGUAAAGUUAAUACCUUUGCUCAUUGACGUUACCCGCAGAAGAAGCACCGGCUAACUCCGUG
rnacentral:rRNA from 1 species